GUGCUUGCUUUGGCAGCACAUAUACUAAAUUUGGGACAAUAAAGAGAAGAUUAGCAUGGCCCCUGUUCAAGGAUAACACACAAGUUUAUGAAGCAUUCCAUAUUUUU